GAGUUUGAUCUUGGCUCAGAUUGAACGCUGGCGGCAGGCCUAACACAUGCAAGUCGAGCGGAUGACGGGAGCUUGCUCCUUGAUUCAGCGGCGGACGGGUGAGUAAUGCCUAGGAAUCUGCCUGGUAGUGGGGGACAACGUUUCGAAAGGAACGCUAAUACCGCAUACGUCCUACGGGAGAAAGCAGGGGACCUUCGGGCCUUGCGCUAUCAGAUGAGCCUAGGUCGGAUUAGCUAGUUGGUGGGGUAAUGGCUCACCAAGGCGACGAUCCGUAACUGGUCUGAGAGGAUGAUCAGUCACACUGGAACUGAGACACGGUCCAGACUCCUACGGGAGGCAGCAGUGGGGAAUAUUGGACAAUGGGCGAAAGCCUGAUCCGGCCAUGCCGCGUGUGUGAAGAAGGUCUUCGGAUUGUAAAGCACUUUAAGUUGGGAGGAAGGGCAGUAAGUUAAUACCUUGCUGUUUUGACGUUACCGACAGAAUAAGCACCGGCUAACUCUGUGCCAGCCGCCGCCGU
rnacentral:rRNA from 1 species